AGUGAACGCUGGCGGUAGGCCUAACACAUGCAAGUCGAACGGAAGCACAGUAAGAGCUUGCUCUUACGGGUGGCGAGUGGCGGACGGGUGAGGAAUACAUCGGAAUCUACUUUUUCGUGGGGGAUAACGUAGGGAAACUUACGCUAAUACCGCAUACGACCUACGGGUGAAAGCAGGGGAUCUUCGGACCUUGCGCGAUUGAAUGAGCCGAUGUCGGAUUAGCUAGUUGGCGGGGUAAAGGCCCACCAAGGCAACGAUCCGUAGCUGGUCUGAGAGGAUGAUCAGCCACACUGGAACUGAGACACGGUCCAGACUCCUACGGGAGGCAGCAGUGGGGAAUAUUGGACAAUGGGCGCAAGCCUGAUCCAGCCAUACCGCGUGGGUGAAGAAGGCCUUCGGGUUGUAAAGCCCUUUUGUUGGGAAAGAAAAGCAGCAGGUUAAUACCCCGCUGUUCUGACGGUACCCAAAGAAUAAGCACCGGCUAACUUCGUG
rnacentral:rRNA from 1 species